rnacentral:rRNA from 1 species
ACGGAAGGUCCGGGCGUUAUCCGGAUUUAUUGGGUUUAAAGGGAGCGUAGGCCGGAGAUUAAGCGUGUUGUGAAAUGUAGACGCUCAACGUCUGCACUGCAGCGCGAACUGGUUUCCUUGAGUACGCACAAAGUGGGCGGAAUUCGUGGUGUAGCGGUGAAAUGCUUAGAUAUCACGAAGAACUCCGAUUGCGAAGGCAGCUCACUGGAGCGCAACUGACGCUGAAGCUCGAAAGUGCGGGUAUCGAACAGG